rnacentral:rRNA from 1 species
GAUGAACGCCGGCGGUGUGCCUAAUACAUGCAAGUCGAACGCGUUGGCCCAAUUGAUUGAUGGUGCUUGCACCUGAUUGAUUUUGGUCGCCAACGAGUGGCGGACGGGUGAGUAUCACGUAGGUAACCUGCCCAGAAGCGGGGGACAACAUUUGGAAACAGAUGCUAAUACCGCAUAACAACGUUGUUCGCAUGAACAACGCUUAAAAGAUGGCUUCUCGCUAUCACUUCUGGAUGGACCUGCGGUGCAUUAGCUUGUUGGUGGGGUAACGGCCUACCAAGGCAAUGAUGCAUAGCCGAGUUGAGAGACUGAUCGGCCACAAUGGGACUGAGACACGGCCCAUACUCCUACGGGAGGCAGCAGUAGGGAAUCUUCCACAAUGGGCGCAAGCCUGAUGGAGCAACACCGCGUGAGUGAAGAAGGGUUUCGGCUCGUAAAGCUCUGUUGUUAAAGAAGAACACGUAUGAGAGUAACUGUUCAUACGUUGACGGUAUUUAACCAGAAAGUCACGGCUAACUGCGUGCCAGCAGCCGCGGUAAUACGUAGGUGGCAAGCGUUAUCCGGAUUUAUUGGGCGUAAAGAGAGUGCAGGCGGUUUUCUAAGUCUGAUGUGAAAGCCUUCGGCUUAACCGGAGAAGUGCAUCGGAAACUGGAUAACUUGAGUGCAGAAGAGGGUAGUGGAACUCCAUGUGUAGCGGUGGAAUGCGUAGAUAUAUGGAAGAACACCAGUGGCGAAGGCGGCUACCUGGUCUGCAACUGACGCUGAGACUCGAAAGCAUGGGUAGCGAACAGG